rnacentral:rRNA from 1 species
GAUGAACGCUGGCGGCGUGCCUAAUACAUGCAAGUCGAGCGAACAGAUAAGGAGCUUGCUCCUUUGACGUUAGCGGCGGACGGGUGAGUAACACGUGGGUAACCUACCUAUAAGACUGGAAUAACUCCGGGAAACCGGGGCUAAUGCCGGAUAACAUUUAGAACCGCAUGGUUCUAAAGUGAAAGAUGGUUUUGCUAUCACUUAUAGAUGGACCCGCGCCGUAUUAGCUAGUUGGUAAGGUAACGGCUUACCAAGGCAACGAUACGUAGCCGACCUGAGAGGGUGAUCGGCCACACUGGAACUGAGACACGGUCCAGACUCCUACGGGAGGCAGCAGUAGGGAAUCUUCCGCAAUGGGCGAAAGCCUGACGGAGCAACGCCGCGUGAGUGAUGAAGGUCUUCGGAUCGUAAAACUCUGUUAUUAGGGAAGAACAAAUGUGUAAGUAACUGUGCACGUCUUGACGGUACCUAAUCGGAAAGCCACGGCUAACUACGUG